AUGUGCAGUAACGCCUUCUCCCAGCAUAGUAUCCAUCCUCAUCAACAUACAACCUUCAUUAAUACUUGCACCGCCCAAGGUCUCUUUCAAUCUCCACCUCCUUCCUCUCAACCUCAUCAUUUCUGCAAGUUAAACGCACAGCAACUCCAUCACCGAUUCAAUCUCCGUCGCCCUUCAAGCUACCCACUGUUCCAACUUACUUUUUGUUCAAUGAUGAUGCUUGUGGAAGGAGUAUAUGUCAUGGUGUCUAUGAAGAACACAAAUGUGCAAUGA